rnacentral:lncRNA from 1 species
AUAGUUAUGUGUAUUUAUAUUCUAAUAUAGUAUAAGUAUAAAGAUAGAUAGAAAUACUUAUCGAGGUAAAUGGGGGUGCUCUCCCCCAAGCUGAAUUUUGACGUAAUUUCUCUUGAUGUAGCUAGCAGGUGGCAGAGGUGUAUUUGAAAGUCAGCAGUAUUCUGACAGCGAUUAGAAUGUCCUCCGUCUGCUAGUCUUCUUGAUUCGUAAAUUCUGUGGAGCUCAAGUAGACAACAAAGCUUGUGGAACUGAUUAAGUGUUAGCAUAAAUAUCUAGCCUUUAUUAUGUUGAGACUCCUCAAUAAUUAUUACUCCCUGUUUUUAUAUUUUUGUUUUUAUAAAGCAGAAAAAUAUUUAUUUUAUUUUUAUGCCACCACAGUGAAUGUACUUAUGGGUUUUAUGCCACUCGUCUACUCACAUGGGGCUUACAGUUUUUCAUAUUUUUAUUUUCUUUUUAGGAUAGUGUGAACUUAAUUAAUUAAGUAAACUAUUUAAAUAAUUGAAAGGGAAAGGAUAACUACCAAGUUUACAUCUUGGCAAGGCGUUCGGUGUUUUUAAGUCCUCCGAACGGGACUCUCCAUUUUCUUAAUCGUCCUGAGGUUCAUUGGGUGGCGUAGUCGGUACUUCCGGCGGCGCCUCCUCUUCAUGUAUAGUUAUCUUCAUUUUCCAUACCUAACUCGGUGCUUCAAUCUCCUCUGGAUAAUUCUGUUUAAACUCUACGUCUUCUGACCUUACAACUUCUCCUUCAUAGUCUGCCCAUCCGUCCUUGAUGAUCUGCCUCCUCUGGUUGCGGUUGCGUCUCUUUCUGACCUGCUUAGAUUCUUCAACGAUAUAGUCAGGGUCAAUAAAAUAACGGCGUACCUUCUCGGAGGGGAAGUGCAUAUGGACUUCGCCGGUUCCAAUGUAGAUAAUUGCUUUGACGGUGCUGAGGAACGGUCUUCCAAGGAUGAUGGGUGGAUCAUACUCGUCUUCUCCCAUGUCAACAACUUGAAAGUCUGUGUAGACAAAGUGAUCGUCUAUUUUGACUGGGACAUCAGUUACUGUUCCUUUAACUUCUCGAAAUGUCUGAUCUGCCAUCUGGAGCUGAAUGUAUGUUGGUCUUAGUGGCAUGGUCCCGAACAAGAGCCGAUAGGUGACUGUGGCCAUUAUGUUGACGCCCGAUCCGGUGUCGCAAAUCGUCUUGUAGAAGCUAUAUCCAUGUAUGGAGCAGUAAAUGCUUGGCAUUCCUGGGUCAUCCUUCUUGGUCAAAAACGGUGACUUAAGUUGAUGAUCUUGGCCUCCAUGGACUACAGUGACCAUCUUAGCUGACUCGGUCCACACUUGCUUGUUCCUGUUUCUCCUGUUGGUCCUCUUCCUUGAUUUACGUCUGGAUUGAUCUUGAAUUUGUGUAGUCUUGUUCUUGAAGAAAAAUGUCUCCUUCUUCCCUUUGACGUAGAAACUGAUCUUGGCAGCACUGGCGUAGAUGAUAGCUCCCGUGGUGUUCAAGAAUGGCCUCCCUAGGAUGAUAGGUGCUCUCUCAUCAUUUUCGGUCUCUACCACUAUGAAGUCUGCUGGGGCAUAUAAGGUACCAACUCGGACACAAAGGUUCUUCACUAUUCCUUUUGGAAAAGUUAUCGUCUGAUCUGCAAACUGCAAACACAUGGUUGUUUCUAAUAAAGGAUAUGUAAAGAGUUUUUCAUAGAGUACCCUGGGUAUAAUGUUGACACUGGAGCCAAAGUCGCAGAGUGCUUCUGGAACGUCCACCAUGCCGAUAGAGAUCGGGAUGACGGGGCGUCCUGGAUCGCCUCUCUUGACCGGUAGAAGGUCAGUAGAGAAUUCAUUGACGGGGUUACUCCAAUUACCUGCAUCAAACAUGUCUACAAGAUUUGCAGAUUCUAAUCCUUCCGGUUGUGAUGGUAUACCGGGGUUAGUAGUAGGAACAACAGCAGCUAUUUGAUUUAACUGAGAUUCAAUCAUUUUAUUAAAGCUAAUUUGAUUCUUGAUGGCAGUAGAAAAAAUAUCCAUUCUAUUAUUUAUAUUUUCUAGCAUUUUAUCAUUAGAUGCCAAUUUCUUAGAUAGAUUAUCCAUUAGCUUUCCUUGAUUAGACACUAACUCUCUCAGAGGUGGAAAAUUAUUAUUAUUGUUGUAAGAAUUGUUACCUUGAUAAUUACCUGAGUAGUUAGGCCUCUGUUGAUUCCAACCUUGAUUUUGUUGAGGACGGUUGUAGUAGUAGUUGUUGUUGUUGUUGAUGUAGUUCACAUCCUCAAGCAUCUCAGGGCAGUGGUUGCCUGAGUGUCCAGUGUCUCCACACUCCUCACAAGUCAUGUGAGAGUCGUAGAUGUGCAUAACUUCUUUCUUGUCUCCGGCUCUAUCAUCGAGCUUCUUCAUGAGCAGGUCUAGAUUUGCAGACAGCAUGUCUACCUCCUUCAGCUGAUGCAUACCUCCACCUCUCUUGCGUGUCUGGGUCCUCUCUUCAUUCCAGCCUUGAUUGGACGCCAUUUUCUCCACAAGAGCUGUGGCUUGUGGUAUAGUAAGUGAUAAGAAUGCUCCUCCAGCUGCAGCAUCCAUGAUAGAAUGUCUGCAUCAGUCGCCAACUCUCCAUUCCAUGAUGGGGACAUUCUAGGAUGUAGUCUUGAAAGCACUCCCAUGCUUCUGGAACAGAUUCAAUAUUUUGUUGCUGAAAACUUGUAAUCUUCCCACGGAGAGCAUUGGUCUUGACCAUGGGAAAGAACUUAGCCAGGAAGUUUGUUGAGCAGAGUGCCCACGUAGUAUUCUUCUCCUUUGUAGCGUAGAACCACUGCUUCGCUCUUCCUAACAGUGAGAAUGGGAAGAGGCGAAGUAGUAUAGCAUCUUUGGAAACUCCUGCUAUGGUGAAUGUGUUGCAAAUCUCUAGGAAGUGUUGUAAAUGAGCACUAGCAUCUUCGUGUGCCUUCCCACAGAACUGGUUGGAUUACACCAUGUUGAUAAGUCCAGGCUUCAGCUCAAAGUUGCCAUCGAUCUCUGCAGCAGGUCCAGUGCGGAUGUUGUCCGUAGUGGGAGCUGAGAACUCGCGGAUCGAUUUGUUCGCCAUGGCUUCGAACUCUGAAGACAAGUUCUGGUGAUCUUCUUGAUUGGAUGAAGCUUCUUCGUGAAGUGUUGAUGAUCUCUUCUUGAGCUUGGCCCUCGUCUUCUUGAAUAAUGCUUCGGGAUUGUCAACAAAAUUUCCUGGAAGAUGUCUUCUAUUCAUACAUUCCCCUGCAUAAGAUAAAAUAGAAAAAUAUCGGGGUAAAACUGUAUGAGAGAAUAGAUAAGCUCAAUCAUAUUAGUGAUGCGAAUGAUAACUCAAAAUCUUUUAUUCCAUUCCUGAUUGGUAAUCAACCUUCCCCGGCAACGGCGCCAAAAAUGCUUGUUGGGUAUUCUUAACAUCAUUACCAAAAGUAGACUAAGUUCUCUAAAUCUAGUAACGGUGCCAAAAAUGCCAAACCUAUCCCUCACACCACUUAAGCCAAGUUGUCCUCCCCAGCAUGAUAUAAGAGACGCGGUAUUGAAAUAUGCCAUUGCUCUUCUAAAUAAAUAAUGAAUGGGAUCUGCAAGCGCACAGAUUAAUACCGAUGUAGCAUUUUAACCGGGAAGUAUUCCAGGUAUCGUUAUUUAUAUUUUUACCACUGGGAAGGGAUUAGCAAUCAUCACUAUUGAUUACAGAAUAGGAUAUGAGAUUGAGCAUCUAUCAUUGCAUGUAUAAUUGAGAACAUUUAUCUAACUCUUUCAUACAGGGAUAAGUGUCACAUAAAAGAUAUAUGAAAUAAUAAUAGUGACAAGGAUAACUAAUCUGAUCUAGCCACAUAAUAAAUAUGAUAAGCACCUCAAUUAGAUACUCUAGAAAGUCAUUAGCAUGGUAUUAGAACGAACUACAAGAAUAUUCCCUAAGUUAUUCUUAACUAUAUAGUUUAGCAUAUCAUAGUUAAUGCAAGCAUACUUAGCAAUCAUUGUGAGACAAGACUACGCCCAUGCAUAGUGAUAUUAGCAAGGAAUAUGAGAAACAUAGCAAUCACUCCCCUGUAAUAAUGUUGCUCUGCCAGCCCAAUACACGAGAGGGGGACUAUAUAAGAAUCAAUGAAGCUAUCACUAUCACGAACCACCCCACGAUCUGGCAUAUUGGGUACAAUCGCAGAUAAAUACGGUAUAAGCACCACGCCUACACAAUAUCUAUCAUUUACCCAUGGAUCCGAUGGAUAAACGCUAUACGAUCCUAAGCAUGUAUAUAGAUCGAAUCUAACUAAGCCAAGUACAUAACUAUGAUAAACUAAGAACAAUAUAAUCUUGAAUAUAAGCAAGUAGAGCAAAGUCAUAAGCAAUAUAUUGAAGUAGAACAAAGUCAUAUUCAUAAUAUUGAAGAACAAAGAUAAUUAGAAAGCAAUUAGAAGCACAAUUAGAGAAUUACCAAGAAUCCUCUUGACAGAUCCGGAAACCAAUCGAAGAUUGACUCCUUCUAGUUCUAAUCCUAUGUAGCUAUGCUAAUCUAGAUGUCUAAUUGAUGUGGUGGCUCUAAUCUUGAUCAGAGGCUUCUUCUCCCUUGAUGGAACAAUGAAUUAGGGUUGAGAGGCUCUCUCCUCUAGGGGCCAGGGGGUCUGGUUUUAUAGUCCCUUCAAGUGAAUAUGGGCCAUUGGAUCAAACCGACAUAGAUUGUAUGGUUUAGAUUCAUCCUUUAGGUCGGUGGAGAUCUCCCACGAAGCAGAGUCCUGAUUGGACUCAGGGAGGGGGCGGGCGCCCUGACCAACUGGGCGGGCGCCCAGGGUCAGGCCCCGUUUCGCCUCCGCUUCGGUCUCGUGGCUUCUGGAGUCUUCUAGAUGUAAGAUAAUUGCGCGGCACGUUAAUAUCUCUAUGUAAUCCCGACGUGUGGGCCUUUCUUCCAUAUUUCCUGAUAACCCCCUGCAGAAAUAGACAAACACCAAAACUCGUGGAAUUCUGUCAGAUAAAACCCUAAGUCUAGAUCUUGAUUUCAUUUGGAUCAUUUUCUUUAUUUAUUUGAUAAUUAAAUUUGAUACUUAAGGACCGUCAACAGGCCACCCACCAAGAACGUACAUGGCAUGGAGCUAGUCCCGGGCUGGAAGAAGCAGCGCACCUACAUUAUCGCGACUACAACCCCCGAGUCCUUCGAGACCCAUGGGUACAACAUGCUCAACCAGAACAACCAUCAAAGGAGACAUGGCCGGAAGGCCAAGUUCACCAGUGGCGAACCCGCCUUUCCAUUCGGAAAGGUACUCCACUGAUCCGUUUGGAGCUUCAAGGUCUAGGCCCCAGCCCCAAUUUGAUGCAGGACAUUACUCCGACGCCUCCUAUAUUUUCUCUUGGGACUACUACCAAGAGGCCGGCGCCUUCUUCAACCGCACCGACAACACCCUCCUCGCCAUACAAGAAAGGCAAACGCAGCAUGGACGACUCCUGGAACAGCAACAAAAGUGGAACCAGGACCACGCCGCUGCGGUACAAGACACAAGGCGAGACACCACGACGAUUGAAAGGUCAAUAUGGCUAGAGGGGGGUGAGUAGCAUAUUUAAAAAAUCUACAAACUCACUAGAGCAAGAGGUUAGUAAAUAACAAAGCGAAGCUUUUUUGCUCUAGCUCUAAAGGGGUGUUUGCAAGCCACCUAUCCAACAAUUCUAGUUGAUAUAAUCUCUAGACACACAAGAGCUAUGUCACUACUUACACUAGAAAGCUACCUAAAGUUUCUAUACAAGUAAGUAAACUACUCUAGUUUGCAGGAAUGUAAAAAGAGAUGGUUUGAUCUUUAUACCACCGCGUAGAGGGGAUGAACCAAUCAAUAAUAUGAAGUCCAAUCACUGGGAGAAAUCCAAUGAACAAUCACAAUGGAGACACACAAUUUUCUCCCGAGGUUCACGUGCUUGCCGGCACGCUACGUCACCGUUGUGUCAACCAACACUUGGUGGUUCGGUGGCUAAGAGGUGUAGCACGAACCUCAUCCUCACUAGGACACCACAAGAACCUACCCACAAGUGAGGUAACUCAAUGACACGAGCAAUCCACUAGAGUUACCUUUUGGCUCUCCACCGGGAAGGUACAAGACCCCUCACAAUCACCGGGAGAUGGCCACGUACAAUCACCAACUCGUGCCAAUCCUCCUCCGCUGCUCCAAGCCGUCUAGGUGGCGGCAACCACCAAGAGUAACAAGAAAACCACAGCUAGAACGAUCCCCAAGUGCCACUAGUUGCAAUCACUCAAGCAAAUGCACUUGGAAUCACUCCCAAUCUCACAAAGAUGUUUAAUCUAUGAAGGAGAUGAGUGGGAGGUGUUUUCUUAGGCUCACAAGGAUGUCAAGUAUGCUAGAAUGCCAAGAGUGAGCCCCAAGCCGGCCAAACACGUAUUUAUAGACCCCUCAACAAAUAGAGUCGUUGGCCCUUUCACUCGACAAAACUCGGGGUCACCGGACGCUCUUAAAGGGGCACUGGACACUCAACACCUGCGUCCAGUGCUCCAAAGUUAGCCACGUGUUAGAGUCUAACGGUAACCUGCAGAGCACCGGACACUGAGCAAGUUACCACUGGACGCGUCCGGUAAACACCGGUCCUAAACUCAGAGACGUCUGCAAAACGCGCAGGCCACCGAACGCACACAACCGGACCGUCCGGUGCUCACCGAACUUAAACCCAGGGAGCACUGCAAAAUGGACCUCACAUCGGACACGUACCACCGGACGCAUAGGCCUGCGUCCGGUGCCUGUCGUCCGGUGCCUUACCCUAGUUGGGCCAGGCAGUGACUACAUCGGACGCUCAGACUCAGCGUCCGGUGAGUGUUUCUCAGCGAGAAACACUCCCGCGACUUGUCCAAUAUUCCCACCGGCGCAAUAGAAAAUAUGCACUUCAUUUUCUCAAAAAGCGCCAAAUCCCGCCGAGCAAGAUCGGCGGGAGGGAGAGAGGAACCCAUCCUCUCUCUACCCUUCAAACUCCACCUCCCUCUCAAAGUGUGCUAAUCACCACAAAGUGUGUACCAACAAGUGCACGUGUGUUAGCUUUUUCACAAUCAUUUUCUUCGAAGGUGUUAAGUUAGCUCACUAGGUUCUAAAUGCUUGCACAAGAAUAAUGACACCUAGUGGCACUUGAUAACCGCUUAGCCAAAGAAUUCCCCUCUUUAUAGUACGGCUAUCUAUCCUAAAUGUGAUCACACCCUCUAUGGUGUCUUGAUCACCAAAACCAAAACCCUAAGCAAUACCUUUGCCUUGAUCUCUAUGGGGUUUUGUUUUUCUCUUUCUUCUUUUCCAAAUUGAGCACUUGAUCAUCUUGUGGUCAUCACCAUCAUUGCUAUGAUCAUCACUUGCUCCAUCACUUGGCAUGUACCAACCUCAUUAAGUCUACACACACUUAGUAUAGAGGUUAGUACUAGGGUUUCAUCAAUUAUCCAAACCAAACUAGGGCUUUCAAUCUCCCCCUUUUUGGUAAUUGAUGACAACCCUUUUUACAAAGAUUUUCAAUAAAAUUUUUCUUGGAUUCAUGUUGCUUGCCCAAGCAUUUUACCAUGUGCAAAGGUUAUGGACAAGUUUCAAAAACCUAAAUUGGUAGCAACUGCUCCCCCUACAUAUGUGCCAAGAGUUUGGAUUUGAAAGCUUGCACAUAUACUUGAAUAGGAAAUAUAGGAGUCAAUUUCUACCAAAUGAUGCUAAGGUGUAAAGAAUGGACCUUUGAAGCGUGAUACCAAUUGGAGUUGCCAAUGUGUACCAUCCUUAGCACCAUUAGUAAGUAGACAUUCACAAAACUAGAACACCCCGUGAGAUCAACAUUAUAAACAAGGUUCUAGUAUCACUUGUGAAACAACUAAAGGUCUAUUUACACUACCUAUGCAUGCUAGUUCUUCAUUUCAUCAAUCAAAACUAUAACUAGCAUACACCACACAAGCAAGGCAUUGGAAAGAAAGCUUCUAAAGCUAUUGCAAAUGCAAGCAUACAUAUGUGAUGCACAUUUAAAUGAAACAUACAAGUUUAUGAGCUUGCUCCCCCUACUUGUGUGCUUCAAAAUUUUAAUUGAUCCCCUUCUUUUAUCAUGUUACUCCCCUAUCUUAAAUCUUUGGGAAAUUUUCUCCCCCUUUGUCAUCAAUGACCACAAAAGGUGAGCUCAAAUUAUAGAUAGGUUAGUGUGAAACCAUGUGAAGUGAGAUCAUUAUACCAAAUUGGUCCAAUCUAGAUUACUUGCCUAAGAUAUUUAACUCGGUUUGAUCCAAGGACAAGCUUCUUCACACCUCCAAAUAAGGGUUAUCUUGUACCAUGUUAAGUUAAACACUUAUAGCUCAUAUUCUAGAUCAAACAUUAGGAUUGCAAGCCCACAAACAAGUCAUAUGCUACCACUAGAUCAAGUCAAGCAUAGAAGCAAUAGUGGUACCAUAUAAGCAUCAAAUUCAUUUUAUUUUUAUGAAUGAUCCUAAGACAUGUAAGGAAUGACUAGAUGCACUAAACAAGUCUUUAGCAUAGAAUGGAUGACAUGUCAAACAAUUUUACCAUGCUUUGCUCGAAGGAGAGGCAUGUCAUACAUUGGGGGUGCAUCAACACAUAUUUGAGAAGUCAAGUAUGUUCAAUUCAUUCCUAAGCUUGCAAAACCUCUUCUCAUCAAGUGGCUUGGUGAAUAUAUCGGCAAGUUGAUCAUCGGUGCCUAUACUCUAAAUGCAAAUGUCCCCUUUUUGUUGGUGAUCUCUUAUGAAGUGAUGGCGGACAUCUAUGUGCUUUGUUCUUGAGUGUUCAACCUGAUUGUUGGUGAGCUUCACGGCACUUUCAUUGUCACAUAGCAAGGGCACUUGUUUGAAAUUGAUUCCAAAGUCUUUCAAUGUUGCCUUCAUCCAUAGGAUUUGUGCACAACAACUAUCAGCCGCAAUGUACUCCGCUUCAGCGGUUGAUAGUGCAACACUAUUUUGCUUCUUGGAUGACCAUGAGACAAGUGAUCUUCCCAAUAGUUGACAUGUGCCCGAUGUGCUUCUUCUUUCAACUUUGCAUCCCGCAUAGUCCGAGUCGGAAUAUCCAACAAGUUCAAACUUUGCACCUUUGGGAUACCACAAACCAACAUUUUGUGUAUGCUUCAAGUACCUCAAUAUUCUCUUUGUUGCCUUCAAAUGACUUUCUCUUGGUGAGGCUUGAAAUCUUGCACACAUGCAUACACUAAACAUGACAUCCGGUCUUGAUGUGGUCACAUAGAGUAGGCUUCCAAUCAUAGACCGAUACAACUUUUGAUCCACCAUGUUUCCACUUGUGUCACUAUCUGGGCUUCCAUUUGUUCCCAUUGGAGUGCUAAUUGCCUUUGCAUCAUCCAUUCCAAACUUAUUGAGCAUGUCUUUUAUGUACUUGCCUUGACUCACAAAUGUACCAUUCUUCAAUUGCUUGAUUUGAAGACCAAGGAAGUAACUUAGUUCUCCAAUCAUUGACAUCUCAAACUCAUUAGCCAUCAUGUUCCCAAACUCCUCACAAAAUUCUUGGUUGGUUGAUCCAAACAUGAUAUCAUCAACAUAGAUUUGCAACACAAACAAGUCCUUGACAAUCUUCUUGGUGAAGAGAGUGGUGUCAACCUUGCCCAUCUUGAAACCUUUAGAGAGUAAGAAAUCUCUCAAUCUCUCAUACCAUGCUCUAGGAGCUUGCUUCAAACCAUACAAUGCCUUUCUUAGCUUGUAAACAUGGUUGGGUUUCUUGUCAUCUUCAAAACCGGGAGGUUGCUCAACAUAAACUUCUUCAUUGAUAUAGCAAUUGAGAAAUGCACUCUUGACAUCCAUUUGAUAUAGCUUGAUAUUAUGUGCACAAGCAUAGGCUAACAAGAUCCUAAUUGCUUCCAAUCUUGCAACCGGGGCAUAUGUUUCACCAAAGUCAAGACCUUCAACUUGAGUAUAGCCUUGUGCUACCAAUCUUGCUUUGUUCCUUACAACUAUCCCAUCUUGAUCUUGCUUGUUGCAAAAGACCCAUCUAGUACCAAUGACAUUAUGAUCACUAGGCCUCUCAACUAAUUCCCAUACUUGAUUUCUCUUGAAGUUGUUAAGCUCUUCAUGCAUAGCAUUAACCCAAUCAACAUCUCUCAAUGCUUCAUAAAUCUUCUUUGGAUCAAUGUGAGACACAAAGGAGAAAUGCUCACAAAAUGAUGCUAAUCUUGAUCUAGUUUGCACUCCUCUUUGAAUAUCACCAAUGAUAUGAUCCAAUGGAUGAUCUCUUGCAAUAUUUGUUGGUUGGAGUAUUUACACUUGAUUGCUUGCACUUGGUUGAUCAUGAGAUGAUUGUUGGGUAUUCUUAACAUCACUACCAAAAGUAGACUUAGUUUUCUAAUUCUGAUAACGGUGCCAAAAAUGCCAAACCUAUCUCUCAUACCACUUAAGCCAAGUUGUCAUCCCCAGCAUGACAUGAGAGACGCGAUAUUGAAAUAUGCAAUUACUCAUCUAAAUAAAUAAUGAAUGGGAUCUGCAAGCGCACAGAUUAAUACCGAUGUAGCAUUUUAACCGGGAAGUAUUCCAGGUAUCGUUAUUUAUAUUUUUACCACUAGGAAGGGAUUAGCAAUCAUCACUAUUGAUUACAGAAUAGGAUAUGAGAUUGAGCAUCUAUCAUUGCAUGUAUAAUUGAGAACAUUAUAUCUAACUCUUCAUACAGGGAUAAGUGUCACAUAAAAGUUAUAAGAAAUAAUAAUAGUGACAAGGAUAACUAAUCUGAUCUAGCCACAUAAUAAAUAUGAUAAGCACCUCAAUUAGAUACUCUAGAAAGUCAUUAGCAUGGUAUUAGAAUGAACUACAAGAAUAUUCCCUAAGUUAUUCUUAACUAUAUAGUCUAGCAUAUCAUAGUUAGUGCAAGCAUACUUAGCAAUCAUUGUGAGACAAGACUACGCCCAUGCAUAGUGAUAUUAGCAAGGAAUAUGAGAAACAUAGCAAUCACUCCCCUGUAAUAAUGUUGCUCUGCCAGCCCAAUACACGAGAGGGGGACUAUAUAAGAAUCAAUGAAGCUGUCACUAUCACGAACCACCCCACGAUCUGGCAUAUUGGGUACAAUCGCAGAUAAAUACGGUAUAAGCACCACGCCUACACAAUAUCUAUCAUUUACCCAUGGAUCCGAUGGAUAAACGCUAUACGAUCCUAAGCAUGUAUAUAGAUCGAAUCUAACUAAGCCAAGUACAUAACUAUGAUAAACUAAGAACAAUAUAAUCUUGAAUAUAAGCAAGUAGAGCAAAGUCAUAAGCAAUAUAUUGAAGUAGAAUAAAGUCAUAUUCAUAAUAUUGAAGAACAAAGAUAAUUAGAAGAACAAUUAGAAGCACAAUUAGAGAAUUACCAAGAAUCCUCUUGACAGAUCCGGAAACCAAUCGAAGAUUGACUCCUUCUAGUUCUAAUCCUAUGUAGCUAUACUAAUCUAGAUAUCUAAUUGAUGUGGUGGCUCUAAUCUUGAUCAAAGGCUUCUCCCUUGAGGAAUAAUGAAUUAGGGUUGAGAGGCUCUCUCCUCCAGGGGCCAGGGGGUCUGGUUUUAUAGUCCCUUCAAGUGAAUAUGGGCUGUUGGAUCAAAUCGACAUUGAUUGAACGGUUAUCCUUGAUCCUCUAGGUCGGUGGAGAUCUUUCCCGAAAGAGCGUCCUGAUUGGACUCCAACAGGGGGCGGGCGCCCAGUGCCUGGCCCCGUUCGGCCUCCGCUUCCUUCCUGUGGCUUCUGGAGUCUUCUAGAUGUAAGAUAAUUGCGCGGCACGUUGAUAUCUCUAUGUAAUCCUGAUGUGUCGGCCUUUCUUUCGUAUUUCCUGAUAACCCCCUACAGAAAUAGACAAACACCAAAACUCGUGGAAUUCUGUCAGAUAAAACCCUAAGUCUAGAUGUUGAUUUCAUUUGGAUCCUUUUCUUUGUUUAUUUGAUAAUUAAAUUUGAUACUUAAGGACCGUCAACAAUGAUGUACUAGCUUGUUGAUCUUGCACUUGUGUACCACUUGUACUAGCUUGAUUUUGAUCAUGAGAACCACUAGCUUGCACAUUAGAGGUAGGAAGCACUUGAUCUUUGUCAUCUUCAACAUGAAUCAUCUCUCUAGGCCUUAAAUCACCAAUAUCCAUAUUCUUCAUUACAUCGGCCAAUUGAGUGACUCUCACAUCAUCUAGAUUCUCAUCUUCCUCUUGAGAGCCAUUGGUUUCAUCAAACUCAACAUCAUGCACCUCCUCAAGAGUACCACUAGCCAAAUUCCAAACUGUAUAAGCUUUGCUAGUAGUAGAGUAACCAAGCAAGAAGCCUUCAUCACAUUUCUUUUCAAAUUUGCUUAAUCUAGUGCCUUUCUUUAAUAUGUAGCAUUUGCACCCAAAAACCUGAAAGUAUGCAAUAUUGGGCUUUCUACCAUUCAAGAGCUCAUAUGGUGUCUUCUCCAUCAUUGGGUGAUAGAGUCGGUUGCUAUAGUAGCAAGCCGUGUUGAUUGCUUCGGCCCAAAAAGAAUGACUCACAUUGUAUUCACUCAACAUUGAUCUUGCCAUGUCAAUCAAGGUUCUAUUCUUCCUCUCAACAAGACCAUUUGAUUGUGGAGUGUACUUUGCUGAGAAUUGAUGCCUAAUGCCAAAUUCAUCACAAAGCUCAUCAACUCUUGUAUUCUCGAAUUCACUUCCAUUGUCACUUCUCACUUUCUUGAUGGUUGUUUCAAACUCAUUGUGUAUUCUCUUGACAAAUGAUUUGAAGGUUGCAAAAGCAUCACUCUUGUCACUAAGAAAGAAUACCCAUGUGUAUCUUGUGAGAUCAUCCACUAUCACAAAUCCAUAUUUGUUUCCACCAAUGCUUGUGUAUGUGGUUGGUCCAAAUAAGUCCAUGUGCAACAACUCAAAUGCCUUGAAUGUACUCAUGAUACUCUUCUUUGGAUGAGUGUUGCCAACUUGUUUUCCGGCUUGACAUGCACUACAAAGCUUGUCUUUCUCAAAUGUGACAUCUUUCAAGCCUCUAACAAGAUCAUGCUUGACUAACUUGUUCAAUUGUUUCAUUCCAACAUGACUAAGCCUUCUAUGCCAUAACCAACACAUGCUAGAUUUAGUGAGCAAGCAUGUUGACAAUUGAGCUUCACUAGCAUUGAAAUCAACCAAGUAUAGAUUCUCAUAUCUAAAGCCUUUGAAUAUAAAGUUAGAGCCAUCUACACUUAUGAUCUCUACAUCAUCAACUCCAAAUAUGCAUUUGAAACUAAGAUCACAAAGUUGAGCUACGGAUAGCAAAUUGAAGUUCAAGCUCUCUACUAGUAGGUGUUGGGCAUUCUUAACGUCACUACCAAAAAUAGACUUAGUUUUCUAAUUCUGAUAACGGCACCAAAAAUGCCAAACCUAUCCCUCAUGCCACUUAAGCCAAGUUGUCAUCCCCAGCAUGACUUGAGAGACGCGGUAUUGAAAUAUGCAAUUGCUCUUCUAAAUAAAUAAUAAAUGAGAUCUACAAGCGCACAGAUUAAUACCGAUGUAGAAUUUUAACCGGGAAGUAUUUCAGGUAUCGUUAUUUAUAUUUUUACCACUAGGAAGGGAAUAGUAAUCAUCAAUGUUGAUUAUAGAAUGGAAUAUAGGAUUGCGUAUCUAUCAUUGCAUGUAUAAUUGAGAGCAUUUUUCUAUCUAUUUCAUACAGGGAUAAGUGUCACAUAAAAGAUAGAUAGAGUAUGAAUGGUGACAAAGAUAAUUAAUUUGAUCAGCAUAACUUAGCCACAUAUAAAUAUGAAAGCACCUAAAUAGAUAUUCUAGCAAGUCAUUAGCAUGGAAUUAGGACGAACUACAAGAAUAUUUCCUAAGUUAUUCUUAACUAUACAGUCUAGCAUAUCAUAGUUAGUGCAAUUACACUUGGCAAUCAUUGCGAGACAAGACUAUGUCCAUGCAUAGUGAUAUUAUCAAGGAAUAUGAGAAACAUAGCAAUCACUCCCCUGUAAUAAUGUUGCUAUGCCAGCCCUAUACACGAGAGGGGGACUAUAUAAGAAUCAAUGGAGCUGUCACUACCACGAACUACCCCGCGAUCUGGCAUAUAGGGUACAAUCACAGAUAAAUACGGUAUAGGCACCACACCUACACAAUACUUAUCAUUUACCUACUGUACACAUGGAUAAAUGCUAUACGAUCCUAAACAUGUAUAUAAUUCCAAUCUAACUAAGCCAAGUAUAUAACUAUGAUAAACUAAGAACAAUAUAAUUGUGAAUAUAAACAAGUAGAGCAAAGUCAUAAUCAAUAUAUUGAAGUAGAACAAAGUCAUAUUCAUAAUAUUGAAGAACAAAGAUGAACAAUUGAAGAACAAUAGAGGAAUUACCAAGAAUCCUCUUGACAGAUCCAGAAACCAAUCGAAGAUUGACUCCUUCUAGUUCUAAUCCUAUGUAGCUAUGCUAAACUAGAGAUCUAAUUGAUGUGGUGGCUCUAGGGCUUCAUCAGAGGCUUCUUGUCCCAAGAUAGAUAAUGAAUUAGGGUUUAGAGGGAUAGAGGUACUCUCCUCUAGGGGCUAGAGGGUCUGCUUAUAUAGUCCUUUCAAGUGAAUGUGGGCCUUCGGAUCAAACCGACAUUAAUCACACGAUUUUCCUUGAUCCUUUAGGUCGGUGGAGCAUGAUCCGCGAAGUUGAAGGUGAUUGGCCUCGAGGCCAGGGUGGGCGCCCUACCCCCGAGCCCGUCCGGUCUCCCGUUCGUUCCCGUGGCUUCUGGACUCUUCUAGAUGUAGGAUAAUUGCGCGGCACGUUAAUAUCUCUAUGUAAACCCGACGUGUGGGCCUUUCUUCCAUAAUUUGUGAUAACCCCCUGCAGAAAUAGACAAACACCAAAACUCAUGGAAUUCUGUCAGAUAAAACCCUAAGUCUGGGUGUCGGUUGCAUUUGGAUCCUUUUCUUUAUUUAUUUGUUGAUUAUAUUUGAUACUUAAGGACCGUCAACAAACUCCCCCAAGCUUAUCUCUUGCUCGUCCCUGAGCAAGGAUAGUCUCAGUGAUGGAUCAAAAGUUGUUGGAAUGCCUUUAAAAGUUGACGGUACACAUGCUUUCAAAUGAGGUCUCAUCUCUGAGUUAGAGUAAACUGUCGAGACUUAAAACUUACUCAUUUUACCUUUUACCAUGAGACUUGUAACCGUCACUUCUGUCUUGAGUAGUUAAAAGAUAGAACAGUCUAGUCAAGUGCCAUGUCUCUUAUUCUUGAUCAGCUAUAGCUCUGGAGUUUUUGCAGAUUUUCAAAUAAAACUCAGAGAUUCCUUGUAUGAUUCUCUCAUAUCUCUCUUUUGUGGUAUUUCUGGAUCCUUACCAAGGCAGUGAUAGUAUAUGUCUUCUCUUAAAAUAUGUAAUAUUUGUGGUAUAAGGCAUAGUGACAUUGCCUUCUCUCUCACCCUACUCUAAUAAGGCUUUAAUAUCUGGAGCUCAUAGGUGGGAGAUAAAGUAUGCAUACUUACAAGACAUUUAUUGUAUAGUCAAACCAUGGAUCCAAAGAAACAAAUCAAUAAGUCAAAUCAAGAUGUGCAUGUGUGGCGAAUGAAUGGUGUAUGGUGAUGAUGGUGAUAACAAUGGUGAAAGUCUAAUUCUACUUGUGCUCUUUUGAGAGGAUACAUACCUUUCUUGCUCUUUUGAAACUUUUUGAGGAGAAUGAGAUGCUCUACUUUUUCUUUUUCUUUCCUCUCAGGUGGGUAUUCUGUACCCCUAAUUCUACUGUCGGACACUUGUCCAUUUUUACCUCUCGUCUCACUUUUUCUUUUCUUUCGAGGUUCCGGGCACUUGCCCCUUUUUAUUUCCUCGUAUCCUUUCUCUUCUUUUUUUUAGAGCACUCAUCUCUUGAAAUAAUGUAGGAGGUGGUAGUAACCAAGAUAACUUGAGCAUUUAUUUCACAGGGGAAAACAAAAAUAUUUUUGGCUAUUCUCUCCUAGAUUAGGAGUAGAAUAUUUUUAAGUGGUUCUGGAGAUGGAAAUGAGUGGAUAUAUGUGGAUGCGUACUUCCGGAGUAGAAGCAGCAUGUGUGAGUGAACGUGCAAGUGAAACUUGAUUUAACCACAUGACAAGCUCCUAAGGGUCUACACAGCUUGACCACACUCAAUGCUCAUAAGCAGUAAAAAGUAAAUGUGUGGCUCAAAGUCUAGCAAGCAUGUAUAUAUAUGGCUGUGGUAGCAAUUUAAAACUCUCAUCAUAUAGAAACUCAUCAUGUGUUAUUUUAAAGAUUUUCAAAGAUAAAAUUCUCCAGAUUUCUAGCAUCUCUAGGAAUAGAUAAACAGCAGUUCAACCUUCCCAUAUCAUAUCCGUUAACAACUUAGACUUCAGAUCAAGUUCUCUUCCCACAAGUUCAGGUUUAGAGCAACCUUUAAAUUAUAACAGUUAUGUCUAAACUAGAGAGAACUUCAAAUUUGAAAACUAGGUAGAGCAACUAUUUAUCAUAUCCAUGCUAGAGUUUUAUUAUUAAGAUUCAGUUUAGCAAAGCCACUUUAUUUAUUUAUUAAGCGCACUAAGCAAAAGAUAUAUAUAUAAGCACAAAAUCUUCAUUUGGUUUUUCAUGGUUAUGUAUAUUUAUAUUUUAAUAUAGUAUAAGUAUAAAGAUAGAUAGAAAUACUUAGCGGGAUAAAUGGGGGUGCUCUCCCCCAAGCUGAAUUUUGACGUAAUUUCUUCUAAUGUAGCUAGCAGGUGGCAGAGGUGUAUUUGAAAGUCGGCAGCACCCUGACAGCGAUUAGGAUGUCCUGCGUCUACUAGUCUUCUUGAUUCUUGAAUUCUGUGGAGCUCAAAUAGACAACAAAGCUUUGUGGAACUGAUUAAGCGUUAGCAUAAAUAUCUAGCCUUUAUCAUGUUGAGACUCCUCAAUAAGUGUUUCUCUCUAUUUUUAUAUUUUCAUUUUAUAGAGCAGAAAAAAUUAUUUAUUUUAUUUUUAUGCCACCAAAGUGAAUGUACUUAUGGGUUUUAUGCCACUCGUAUACUCAUAUGGGGCUUACUGUUUUUUUAACAUUUUUAUUUUCUUUUUAGGAUAGUAUGAAUCUGAUUAACUAAGCAAACUAUUUUAAAUAAGUGAAAGGAAAAAGAAUAUCUACCAAGUUUACCUCUUGGCAAGGCGUUCGGUGUUUUUAAGUCCUCUGAACGGGACUCUUCGUUUUCUCAGUCGUCUUUGGAUUUGCUCGAUGGCGUAGUCGGUGUUUCCAGCGGCGCCUCUUCUUCAUGUAUAGUUAUCUUCUCUCUCCACGCCUGACUCGGUGCUACGGUCUCCUCAGGAUAAUUCUGUUCAAGCUGUAUGUCUUCAGACCGUACCACUUCUUCUUCAUAGUCUGCCCAUCCGUCCUUGAUGAUUUGCCUCCUCUGGUUACGGUUGUGUCAUCUUCUUCUUCUCCUGACCUGCUUAGAGUCUUCAACUAUAUAAUUAGGGUCAGUAAAAUAGCGGCGUACCUUCUCUGAGGGGAAGUGCAUGUGAACUUCUCUGGUUCCAAUGUAGAUGAUUGCUUUAACGGUGUUGAGGAACGGUCUUCCAAGGAUGAUGGGUGGACCGUACUCAUCUUCUCUCAUGUCAAUAACCUGAAAGUCUGUAUGGACAAAAUGAUUGUCUAUUUUGACAGGGACAUCAGUUACUAUACCUUCAACCUUUCGAAAUGUCUGAUCUGCCAUCUGGAGUUGAAUGUAUGUUGGUUUUAAGGGCAUGGUUCCGAACAAAACCCGAUAGGUGAGUGUGGCCAUUAUGUUGACACCUGAUCCGGUGUCGCAAAGUGUCUUGUAGAAGUUGUACCCAUUGAUGGAGCAAUAGAUGCUUGGCAUUCCUGGGUCGUCCUUCUUGGUCAGGAACGGUGACUUAAGUCGAUGAUCUUGACCUCCGUGAACUGCAGUGACCAUCUUAGCUGACUCGGUCCACACUUGCUUGUUCCUGUUCCUCCUGUUGGUCCUCUUCUUUGGUUCAUGUCGGGAUUGCUCUGGGAUUUGUGUAGUCUUGUUCUUGAAGGAAAACGUCUCCUUAUUCCCUUUGAUAUAGAAACUGAUCUUGGCAGCACUAGCGUAGAUGAGAGCUCCCGAAGUGUUUAAGAAUGACCACCCUAAGAUGACGGGUGCCCUCUCAUCAUUACUGGUCUCUAUCACCACGAAGUCUGCUGGGGCGUACAAGGUACCAACUUGGACACUUCAAUAUUCCCUUUGGGAAACUUAACGUCCAAUCUGCAAACUGCAAACACAUGGUUGUUUCUAAUAAAGGAUAUGUAAAGAAUUUUUCAUAGAGUACCCUGGGCAUAAUGUUGAUACUAGAGCCAAAGUCGCAGAGUGCUUCUAGGAAGUCCACCAUGCCCAGGGGCGGGCCUAGGACUAAGGCCACUAGGGCCAUGGCCCUCGUCGUGGCCUAAAAAUUUUGGGAGCAGCUCUUGAGGCCUGGUUUAGUUUUUUUAAAUUGUUCAAGAUUUCCCGUCAUAUCGAAUCAUUGGACACAUACUUUAAGUAUUAAAUAUAGACAAAAACAAAAACUAAUUGCACAGAUUACCUGUAAUUUGCGAGACAAAUCUUUUGAGCCUAGUUAGUUCGUUUUUGGACAAUAAUUGUCAAAUACAAACGAAAAUGCUAUAGUAGCAAAAACCAAAAAAUUUUGUGAACUAUUAAUUUGUGAUAUAGCGUGUAGUUACUCUAUGUCUAUAUCUGUAUAUUUAGGGUGCAUAUGACUGGACGAAAUGUAUGUAGACGAAGUAUGUGAUUAUACUAGACCAUUUAGGAUGAUAUGUAUAUUAAGUAUGCAUACAUAUAUAGAGUAUGUGGUUAUACUUAUUAUAUAUACUACAUUAAUGGCAUUUUAGUAAUAUUUUUUAAAAUAAUAUGAAUUUCUUUUAAAAAAUUUCGCAUAGUAAGAUCUAGAAUAUGAGUAUAUAAAUAUAUUCAAAUCGAUCAACAAGUAUGAACACAUACGCAGUGUUGUUCAAUAGACUAUACUUUAUAUUAUAGCUUUUGGAUUUUGGCUGCUAGGAUUUGGCCCUAGUCUUCACUAAAUCCUGGGUCCGCCACUGACCAUGCCGAUGGAGAUCGGGAUGAUGGGGCGUCCUGGAUCGCCUCUCUUAACCGGCAGAAGGUCAGUAGUAACUUCAGUGAUGGGGUUACUCCGGUAGUUACCUGUAUCAAACAUGUCUACA